CUUCGGUUGAUCCUGCCGGAGGUUACUGCUAUCGAGGUUCGACUAAGCCAUGCGAGUCGAAUGUCCGUAAGGACAUGGCGAACUGCUCAGUAACACGUGGACAACCUGCCCUUUGGACAGGGAUACCCCUGGGAAACUGGGACUAAUCCCUGAUAAGUCUCCGUAGCUGGAAUGCUCGGAGACGGAAAGCUCCGGCGCCACAGGAUGGGUCUGCGGCCUAUCAGGGUAGUAGUGGGUGUAGAGUACCUACUAGCCUACGACGGGUACGGGUUGUGAGAGCAAGAGCCCGGAGAUGGAUUCUGAGACACGAAUCCAGGCCCUACGGGGUGCAGCAGGCGCGAAAACUUUACAAUGCGGGACACCGCGAUAAGGGGACCUCGAGUGCUGGCAUACAAUGCUGGCUGUCCAGCUGCCUAAAUAGCAGUUGAUAGCAAGGGCCGGGCAAGACCGGUGCCAGCCGCCGCGGUAACACCGGCGGCUCGAGUGGUAACCGCUAUUAUUGGGUCU
rnacentral:rRNA from 1 species